rnacentral:rRNA from 1 species
CCUACGGGAGGCAGCAGUGGGGAAUAUUGCACAAUGGGGGAAACCCUGAUGCAGCGACGCCGCGUGAGUGAUGAAGUAUUUCGGUAUGUAAAGCUCUAUCAGCAGGGAAGUUAAUGACGGUACCUGACUAAGAAGCUCCGGAUAAAUACGUGCCAGCAGCCGUGGUAAUACGCAGGGAGCCAGCGUUAUCCGGAUUUACUGGGUGUAAAGGGAGCGCAGACGGCAGGGCAAGUCUGAUGUGAAAGUCCGGGGCUCAACCCCGGGACUGCAAUGGAAACUGUCCGGCUAGAGUGCAGGCGAGGUAGGUGGAAUUCGUGGUGUAGCGGUGAAAUGCGUAGAUAUUAGGAGGAACACCGGUGGCGAAGGCAGCUUACUAGACUGUAACUGACGUUGAGGCUCGAAAGCGUGGGGAGCAAACAGGAUUAGAUACCCGAGUAGUC